rnacentral:lncRNA from 1 species
AAAUGUCUUUCCUCUUACAGGGCUAUUUCUGAUGCAAGCCACAGAAAUCUACACAAAUGAACUGAAGCAAAACUAGGCAUCCACUCAGAAAAAAGGGAGAACUGACUUGACAUGGACUUCACAUCCCCUGACGUGCGGGUAGACUAAGAACUUGAGCUGCGUGUUUACACGGCUAAUAAAGCAAAGCCAGCUGUUACAGAGGCUAAGAAGAAAUAUUGGCGCAUUUUCAAGCCUUCCACAUCAGCCACAGCAGACUAUGAACAUUGACCUUCAUCCUGGAGGUAGACAGCCUUAGAAGAAGGUGUAGACAUUAGUGACCUGCCUGCCCUGAUGGAUUCAGAUGACAAUGAGAUGUUAAUAGAUGACCCUCUUCCUUGCUCUCCGACACUCCAGUCCCCUGUACCUCUCACCAUCCCAACCUCGGAAGACUCAGCCUAACACCCCAUCAUCACCACCA